rnacentral:rRNA from 1 species
UACGUAGGGUGCGAGCGUUUGUCCGGAAUUAUUGGGCGUAAAGGGCUCGUAGGCGGUUUGUCGCGUCGGGAGUGAAAUCCACUGGCUUAACUGGUGGCUUGCUUUCGAUACGGGCAGACUGGAGGUAUGCAGGGGAGAACGGAAUUCCUGGUGUAGCGGUAGAAAUGCGCAGAUAUCAGGAGGAACACCGGUGGCGAAGGCGGUUCUCUGGGCAUGUCCUGACGCUGAGGAGCGAAAGUGUGGGGAGCGAACAGG